UACGUAGGGGGCAAGCGUUGUCCGGAUUUAUUGGGCGUAAAGAGCGUGUAGGCGGCUAGAUAGGUCCGUUGUGAAAACUCGAGGCUCAACCUCGAGACGUCGAUGGAAACCAUUUGGCUAGAGUCCGGAAGAGGAGAGUGGAAUUCCUGGUGUAGCGGUGAAAUGCGCAGAUAUCAGGAAGAACACCCGUGGCGAAAGCGGCUCUCUGGAACGGUACUGACGCUGAGACGCGAAAGCGUGGGGAGCGAACAGG
rnacentral:rRNA from 1 species